UACGUAGGGUGCGAGCGUUAAUCGGAAUUACUGGGCGUAAAGCGUGCGCAGGCGGUUCGUUAUGUCCGAUGUGAAAGCCCCGAGCUUAACUUGGGAAUGGCAUUGGAAACUGGCGGGCUGGAGUGCGGCAGAGGGGGGUGGAAUUCCACGUGUAGCAGUGAAAUGCGUAGAGAUGUGGAGGAACACCGAUGGCGAAGGCAAUCCCCUGGACCUGUACUGACGCUCAUGCACGAAAGCGUGGGGAGCAAACAGG
rnacentral:rRNA from 1 species